AUGGUAUCAGAGCCCAUGGUCGCGAUUUUGUGGCCUUGUGGCUUCUGUGAUUAGCUUAGCUUCCGCGUUUUGAUUCCAGUUUUUCAGUUUUCAGUUUCCCCAACUUCAAUUACCCUAGCUUUGCGUUUUUCCCAAACCCGUUCAUCAACGAUCCCAAACUCAAAAUCUUCGUCUUUGGCGCUAUAAUCUUCUCUUCCGGCGUGAGAUUGUCGAUACCCAGCCUUCUCUAAGACCUCUGGGCUUCGAUGUUCGUUCUCCGCGUCGUCACCUGCGCGGCUCGCCUCGUAUGGCUCUGUUCUUUGUUUGCGGGUUUUCUCCUUCAGAUCCUCGAGUAUGACGUCAGGGGAGGACUGUAUCAGUGUGAUGCAGCGAAUCUGUUCUCUGAGACUUGCUCUGUGUUGCCUCAAUGCUCUGCUGCAACCUACAAUCUUGUCAACUGACUGUGGAUGAUGUUCUCAUACUGCUAAGUGGCUGUUGGGUUUUGAUUUUUGGGAUGAUAAUCUUGUAAAUUGUUCUACAUCAUGUAUUGUGCUUCUUGGUCCAACCAAGCAUAUGGUUGCGGGGGGAUAGUUGAGUCAUUUACUAUUAUCCCUACCUAUAUAAAGCUAUGAGUUGUGUACACUGUUCAUCAAUUGAGAAAUACAAGAUGUAGACGUUUACUCUCUCCUGUGUUUUCUUUACUUUUCUGCUUAGCAUUUUCAAUUCAAUAAUUCCAUGAAUCCUAUCAAGAGAAGCUCACAACAUUCAACCAUAAUCCCUAUCCAUCUCUUCUAUCUCAAAUCACCACCAGAUUUAGAAGCCCAGAGUAUUUACAUAUAAUAUCAAUCAACACUGUCAUCUCCCCUACUUCUACAACCAACCACAUCCAAGCGAUAAACACACAGGAGAGAGGGGGAUAGAGCACGAUGACGACGAAGCGAGAUAGAUGACGAUGACUUCCAAGAGAAAUUAUGCUUCGAUUCGAAACUGAGAAGAAGAAGACUCAUCGGGCUUCGUCGAUCUGAGGACAACACGGCAUCAACUAAGAAAAUCAGUCACAGGAGAGAACAAGGACGUCGACAAGGCUCGCACGCCGACUAUGCGUCAAUAAUCAUUGACUGAAUCGACUGGGUGUGAGGGAAAUUGGAUUUUGGGGUUAGGGUUCUGAAAUUGGGGUUAAAUCAAAUCGAGAACGAAGGAAACUGAUAACAGCGGAAGCUAAGAUAGACAUACAGAAGCCACAAGGCCAAAGAUCAUGACCAUGGGCUCUGAUACCAUGAUAACAUUCAUGGAUUUAUUCAACGGAAGAAGAAAAGGAAGAAGACGACUGAAAGUAAGAAACGCUGAGAAUAUAAACGACUAUAUCGUGAAUUUUCAAU